CCUACGGGAGGCAGCAGUGAGGAAUAUUGGUCAAUGGGCGGGAGCCUGAACCAGCCAAGCCGCGUGAGGGAAGAAGGUACAGCGUAUCGUAAACCUCUUUUGUCAGGGAACAAAGGCGGGGACUAGUCCCCGGAUGAGGGUACCUGAAGAAAAAGCAUAGGCUAACUCCGUGCCAGCAGCCGCGGUAAUACGGAGGAUGCGAGCGUGAUCCGGUUUGAUUGGGUUUAAAGGGUGCGCAGGCGGCCUGGUAAGUCAGCGGUAAAAGCCCGGGGCCCAACCCUGGCGAGCCGUUGAAACUGGCGGUCUGGAGUUGGCGAGAAGUACGCGGAAUGCGCUGUGUAGCGGUGAACUGCUUAGAUAUCGCGCAGAACCCCGAUUGCGAAGGCAGCGUACCGGCUCCACACUGACGCUGAGGCACGAAAGCGUGGGUAUCGAACAGGAUUAGAUACCCUGGUAGUC
rnacentral:rRNA from 1 species